rnacentral:rRNA from 1 species
GAUGAACGCUAGCGGCAGGCUUAACACAUGCAAGUCGAGGGGCAGCAUAAUGGAUAGCAAUAUCUAUGGUGGCGACCGGCGCACGGGUGAGUAACGCGUAUCCAACCUGCCCACCACUUGGGGAUAACCUUGCGAAAGUAAGACUAAUACCCAAUGACGUCUCUAGAAGACAUCUGAAAGAGAUUAAAGAUUUAUCGGUGAUGGAUGGGGAUGCGUCUGAUUAGCUUGUUGGCGGGGUAACGGCCCACCAAGGCGACGAUCAGUAGGGGUUCUGAGAGGAAGGUCCCCCACAUUGGAACUGAGACACGGACCAAACUCCUACGGGAGGCAGCAGUGAGGAAUAUUGGUCAAUGGGCCGAGAGGCUGAACCAGCCAAGUCGCGUGAAGGAAGAA